rnacentral:lncRNA from 1 species
AUGAGGGAAGUAGAGAUGGUCCUGCAAAAUGAGGAACACGAGCAGGGUGGUGUCGGCCGGGUGCCUCGCGACAGAGGCCUCACUCACCCUGCAGUGCAGGCGCCCGGGUCGCCAUCCGUGUCUCCCCGGCGCUUGCCGCUGCGUCCUCUCUGCGGUCCCUCCGCUCUCCGACCGGUGCAGGCUAGUGUCAUCUCACCUUUCCUGCCUGUCCCCCCACGUGCCCUCAGGAGUCGCUCCGGUCUGCUGGGCUCGCUCCAUCCCACAACCCUAGGUUCUCAACUCUUAAUUCGGUGAAGAAAACUGAAGUCGACUAGCCAAAGAUUGCAAACUCAUCAGAAGCAAAGUAAAAGAAGGAAAGAAAAGGAAGUAGAGAAGGAAAAAGGAAAGAGUAUGUAAGUACCAAAAGGCUAAAAACUUUAGUAUUUUGAAUCCCCCUAGAAGUCUAAAAGGCCAAAUGUCUGAGAAUUAGAAGUUACAGAUCGCACAAAUACUAAACUUCAAAUAAGGAUUUUAAAGUUGUUACUAUAAAAGGCAAAACUACAUGGGCCGAGGUGAUGCACACCUGUGAACCCAGUAUUUGGGAGGCUGAGCCAGGAGGAUUGCCCUGAGUUCAAGACCAGCCUGGGCUAUAUAGUGAAUUCAUGGCCAACCUGAACUACAUAGGAAGACCUUGUCUCAAUAAUUAAUUAAUUAAUUAAUUGAUUAAAGGGCAAGAGCAAGGUUUGGAAGCUUUCACUCCCAAACUCUACUUAAUUGAGAACACUGGAGGGUACAUGAGUUCAAAAGAAAACAAUAAAGAAAUGAAUUAUCUAGUGUUAUGUUCUUAAAGCAACUUCUGUAUCAUUCCCAAAGUAUACUUCAAAGAAUUGUGACUGCAUGUAACUAAAAAUUUAUACAUAAUGAUAAACUGCAAAAUUUUCCCUGGGUCAUGCUUAAAGAUGAG